GAAAGAAAAAGAGUGGCGAACGGGUGAGUAACACGUGGGUAACCUGCCCAUCAGAAGGGGAUAACACUUGGAAACAGGUGCUAAUACCGUAUAACACUAUUUUCCGCAUGGAAGAAAGUUGAAAGGCGCUUUUGCGUCACUGAUGGAUGGACCCGCGGUGCAUUAGCUAGUUGGUGAGGUAACGGCUCACCAAGGCAACGAUGCAUAGCCGACCUGAGAGGGUGAUCGGCCACACUGGGACUGAGACACGGCCCAGACUCCUACGGGAGGCAGCAGUAGGGAAUCUUCGGCAAUGGACGAAAGUCUGACCGAGCAACGCCGCGUGAGUGAAGAAGGUUUUCGGAUCGUAAAACUCUGUUGUUAGAGAAGAACAAGGAUGAGAGUAAAAUGUUCAUCCCUUGACGGUAUCUAACCAGAAAGCCACGGCUAACUACGUGCCAGCAGCCGCGGUAAUACGUAGGUGGCAAGCGUUGUCCGGAUUUAUUGGGCGUAAAGCGAGCGCAGGCGGUUUCUUAAGUCUGAUGUGAAAGCCCCCGGCUCAACCGGGGAGGGUCAUUGGAAACUGGGAGACUUGAGUGCAGA
rnacentral:rRNA from 1 species